AAUCAACGCUGGCGGCGUGCCUAACACAUGCAAGUCGAACGCGAAAGGGGCUUCGGCCCUGAGUAGAGUGGCAAACGGGUGAGUAACACGUGGGUGACCUGCCUUCGAGUGGGGGAUAACGUCCCGAAAGGGACGCUAAUACCGCAUGACAUCCUGCUCUUGGACGAGCGGAAAUCAAAGCCGGGGAUCGCAAGACCUGGCGCUUGAAGAGGGGCCCGCGCCUGAUUAGCUAGUUGGUAGGGUAAUGGCCUACCAAGGCGACGAUCAGUAUCCGGCCUGAGAGGGCGGACGGACACACUGGGACUGAGACACGGCCCAGACUCCUACGGGAGGCAGCAGUGGGGAAUUGUUCGCAAUGGGCGCAAGCCUGACGACGCAACGCCGCGUGGAGGAUGAAGAUCUUCGGGUCGUAAACUCCUGUCGAGCGGGAAGAAUUCCUGCCUGGCUAACAUCCAGGCGGGUUGACGGUACCGCUAAAGGAAGCCCCGGCUAACUCCGUGCCAGCAGCCG
rnacentral:rRNA from 1 species